UACGGAGGGGGCAAGCGUUGCUCAGAAUCACUGGGCGUAAAGGGCGCGUAGGCGGGAUGGCAAGUCGGUCGUGAAAUCCUUCGGCUCAACCGAAGAACGUCGGCCGAUACUGCCGUUCUUGAGGGAUGCAGAGGAGAUUGGAAUUCCCGGUGUAGCGGUGAAAUGUGUAGAGAUCGGGAGGAACACCGGUGGCGAAGGCGGGUCUCUGGGCAUCUCCUGACGCUGAGGCGCGAAAGCGUGGGGAGCAAACGGG
rnacentral:rRNA from 1 species